rnacentral:misc_RNA from 1 species
UCCGAGUUGUCCCCGGCAGUCUCCUUAGAGUCCCCGGCAUUACCCGCUGGCAACUAAGGACAGGGGUUGCGCUCGUUGCGGCACUUAAGCCAACACCUCACGACACGAGCUGACGACAGUCAUGCACCACCUGUGCACAGGCCCCGAAGGGCUGCCGUGUUUCCACGACAUUCCUGUGCAUGUCAAGCCCUGGUAAGGUUCUUCGCGUCGCGUCGAAUUAAUCCACAUGCUCCGCUGCUUGUGCGGGCCCCCGUCAAUUCCUUUGAGUUUUAGCCUUGCGGCCGUACUCCCCAGGCGGGGCGCUUAAUGCGUUAGCUGCGGCACAGGACCCGUGGAAAGGCCCCACACCUAGCGCCCAACGUUUACAGCAUGGACUAC